GGCACACAUUACGCGAAACCCACAGCCUUUCGCGAUACACAGCUAAAAACGCUCUAGUUUAUUUAUAUAGCCCCUCCACCCUCGGCUCUUCCCAGCCGUCCCCAAAUUCCCUAGAAAUCCAGCUAAGGCGUGGGGAAGAGAGAAAAGCGUUUUGGAGGGGAGGGAAUCAUUUAUUUUUGUUUCGUUUGGGAAUUGUUUUGGUUUGGUGUUUUUUUUUUCUUUGCAUACAAAAAUAAGUGAAGAAGAUUUUGCAAGGUGCGGCCGCGCCAUCGAGGCCGAAGGCACCGCGGGAGCAGCGAGGGCCGCAGGCAGAUUAAUUUGGGUGUUCUGAUCUACAAAAAAAACCCCAGUCUGUCUGCACCCCCAGUCAUGUAACACUCCUGAAACACUCCUGAACUCACUGGUACCACAUAAGCAUGCCUCCCUCAUAUUUCCUGCACUUCAUAUGUGAAAUUUCAGCUGCCACUGUCCCAAUUAAAUAAUGGUCAUAGCUUUUCACUGUUACUAAACUAAAUUUGUCCCUUGAUUAAUUUCUGUUAAAGGAAUUUCUUGUAUAAAUUCGAACUAGUAUAGUAGGACUUUGUAUGUGGGGGUCUGGUUGUACGCACAUCUA